GACGGAGGAUGCAAGCGUUAUCCGGAAUGAUUGGGCGUAAAGCGUCCGCAGGUGGCAGUUCAAGUCUGCUGUCAAAGACCGGGGCUCAACCUCGGAAAGGCAGUGGAAACUGAACAGCUAGAGUAUGGUAGGGGCAAAGGGAAUUCCUGGUGUAGCGGUGGAAUGCGCAGAUAUCAGGAAGAACACCCGUGGCGAAAGCGGCUCUCUGGAACGGUACUGACGCUGAGACGCGAAAGCGUGGGGAGCGAACAGG
rnacentral:rRNA from 1 species